CACGGAUAACCGCGCACUAAUAGAUUGUUGCGGACAUCGAACACGAAUAAUAUACAACACACGAAUAGACAAUUAUUGUAAAUUUUUUACGAAUUGUUAACGUGCCGGGCGAGAGCGAAGUCGGAAGCGGAAUACGCGCGAAUAGUUUUGUGAAUUAGUAAUUACUGUAUUUACUUUUGUAAAAUGCCGUUUGACAAAAAAAAAAAAGGGGGAAAAAAAGCAACCCCCCGUAUUAAUCAGCCUUUAAGACUAAAUUAAUCGGUAAACACGAUUUUAAAUCGAGCGCCGCCGCCGCCGUCGGAAUAGCUUCGAAAGUCUUAUUUCGGUUGACAGAUCGCC